GACAGAGGAUGCAAGCGUUAUCCGGAAUGAUUGGGCGUAAAGCGUCUGUAGGUGGCUUUUUAAGUCCGCCGUCAAAUCCCAGGGCUCAACCCUGGACAGGCGGUGGAAACUACCAAGCUGGAGUGCGGUAGGGGCAGAGGGAAUUUCCGGUGGAGCGGUGAAAUGCGUAGAGAUCGGAAAGAACACCAACGGCGCAGGCAGCGUCCUGGCCGCUUGCUGACACUGAGGCACGAAAGCUGGGGGAGCAAACAGG
rnacentral:rRNA from 1 species